rnacentral:rRNA from 1 species
UACAGAGGGUGCAAGCGUUGUUCGGAAUCAUUGGGCGUAAAGCGCACGUAGGCGGCUUAUUAAGUCGGGUGUGAAAUCCCUGGGCUCAACCUAGGACGUGCACCUGAAACUGGAUGGCUAGAGUCCUGGAGAGGAAGGUGGAAUGCUUGGUGUAGAGGUGAAAUUCGUAGAUAUCAAGCGGAACACCGGUGGCGAAGGCGGCCUUCUGGACAGUGACUGACGCUGAGACGCGAAAGCGUGGGGAGCAAACAGG